rnacentral:lncRNA from 1 species
GUCCCAAUUGCUUAAAAAUAUAAAAAAACACAGCUAUUCUGCGUCAUGAGAACUUGGAUUUAAUACCGUCUGUUAGGGUAUGGAUAGGGUUUAUAGAAAGCAGACUAACAGGCAAAAGGCCUAAAAAAAACAUAGUAUAUAAAAAAAAAUAUAUGAACAGAAAAUAUCGAAAAAUUAAAUUAAAAAACAUAGAAAAACAACCACAAAAACUGAAAAGGAAUAAAGAAAAAAUGGGAUAAAAAAAUUGAAUAUCGCAGACGCUUAUGUGCUGUUCGGAAUUGUGUGAACGGCUUUAUUCUCAGACGACUUGGUUGUCAGUUGUAGGUGCUUUAUGAUGUCUGUUUUAGAGUAAUGCCUCUAAUCAUAUUUGGGAAAUAACUAACGUUUGGCAAACACAGGAGUUGCCGUAAUUAUUUUUU